rnacentral:rRNA from 1 species
CAGUCGAACGGACUCAUAUUGAAACCUAGUGAUUUAUGAGUUAGUGGCGGACGGGUGAGUAACGCGUGGAUAACCUGCCGUAUACCGGGGGAUAACACUUAGAAAUAGGUGCUAAUACCGCAUAAGCGCACGGCUCCGCAUGGGGCAGUGUGAAAAACUCCGGUGGUAUACGAUGGAUCCGCGUCUGAUUAGCUAGUUGGCGGGGUAACGGCCCACCAAGGCAGCGAUCAGUAGCCGGCCUGAGAGGGUGGACGGCCACAUUGGGACUGAGACACGGCCCAAACUCCUACGGGAGGCAGCAGUGGGGAAUAUUGCACAAUGGGGGAAACCCUGAUGCAGCGACGCCGCGUGAGUGAAGAAGUAUCUCGGUACGUAAAGCUCUAUCAGCAGGGAAGAAAAUGACGGUACCUGACUAAGAAGCCCCGGCUAACUACGUGCCAGCAGCCGCGGUAAUACGUAGGGGGCAAGCGUUAUCCGGAUUUACUGGGUGUAAAGGGAGCGUAGACGGCAGCACAAGUCUGGAGUGAAAUCCCGGGGCUUAACCCCGGAACUGCUUUGGAAACUGUGCGGCUGGAGUGCAGGAGGGGUAAGCGGAAUUCCUAGUGUAGCGGUGAAAUGCGUAGAUAUUAGGAGGAACACCGGUGGCGAAGGCGGCUUACUGGACUGUAACUGACGUUGAGGCUCGAAAGCGUGGGGAGCAAACAGGAUUAGAUACCCUGGUAGUCCACGCCGUAAACGAUGAUUACUAGGUGUCGGGGGAUCAAGGUCCUCCGGUGCCGGCGCAAACGCAUUAAGUAAUCCACCUGGGGAGUA